CGAUAAUUUAAGACUAUAUGACUCGCGUACUCUAACUCUUUGUAUAUCUAUGGUUAUAAUAGACAUUUAUUGCAGUCUCACAGUUGUUCGAAAUUUUGAAUUUUAGAACAUGUCUAAGAAUCAUGGAAAUGGAAAGAUGUCCAUUCAUUGGGGUAUAGCAGGUGCUGGAAAAUAUCACAUGGUUUUGUAACAUGCUUACGAACAUUACCAGAAUCCGAACAUGUAGUUCUUGCAGUAGCGGCACGUGAACUAUCAAGGGCACAGAACUUUUCUAGCUUACAUAAAAUUAAAAAGGCGUUAUUACAAUUAUGUAGAGCUAGCUCUACAAUUAUGUAGAGCUAGCGAAAGACAAGAAUAUUGGUAUGUUUCGUGUUUUUUUAAGCUGAAUUAAUAUAGAAAUAAUCUUUUUAUAAA
rnacentral:misc_RNA from 1 species